rnacentral:rRNA from 1 species
UACGGGGGGGGUAAGCGUUGUUCGGAAUUACUGGGCGUAAAGGGCUCGUAGGCGGCCAACUAAGUCAGACGUGAAAUCCCUCGGCUUAACCGGGGAACUGCGUCUGAUACUGGAUGGCUAGAGGUUGGGAGAGGGAUGCGGAAUUCCAGGUGUAGCGGUGAAAUGCGCAGAUAUCAGGAAGAACACCCGUGGCUAAGGCGGCUCUCUAGUACGGUACUGACGCUGAGACGCGAAAGCGUGGGGAGCGAACAGG